GAACACUACUGGCACUGCCAGGGCAGGCAGGCACGACACAGACAUUGAAUGAGCACAGCUCAGCUCCACGCAAAGUGGGCCUUUGUGGAGGCUCUCGAAGCCCUCAGUGAAGGCUCUCGCAAGCAGGCUUGGGAGGCAGAGGCGGCUGUGACUAACAGGUGUUAGCUGUGAUCCAUUCGGAACUUUGGAAUUUGGACGUGGUAGAUUGCUGAGGGGUUUGGUAUAUCUAAUAUGAGAUUGUCUCCGAGGGUUGUUACAGAGCAAGGACUCCUGGACCAAGCAGCACCUCAGGUGCCUGACACAGGGGACAUACCGGUACACCAGUGCUCACACACCAGGUUCCCCUCCAGAUUUUGAGGUCAGCUGAACACUGUCUGGCAUCAAGAAAGGCACGGUCACAUCAUGAAAUGUUCAGGGGUACACAACACACACUCUACAAUUCCAAAGGCCCGGAGAUUAGGAUGCCAAGAUUCACCGUGGGAGUAUGUUUUGCCAUUUGAAACACAAACUACAAAAGAAGAGAAAAGGAAGAAAAAGUACGACUG